rnacentral:rRNA from 1 species
UACGAAGGGUGCAAGCGUUACUCGGAAUUACUGGGCGUAAAGCGUGCGUAGGUGGUGAGUUAAGUCUGUCGUGAAAGCCCCGGGCUCAACCUGGGGAAUGGCGAUGGAUACUGGCUCGCUAGAGUGCGGUAGAGGAGAGUGGAAUUCCCGGUGUAGCAGUGAAAUGCGUAGAGAUCGGGAGGAACAUCAGUGGCGAAGGCGGUCUGCUGGGCCGUUGCUGACGCUGAGGCGCGACAGCGUGGGGAGCAAACAGG